rnacentral:lncRNA from 1 species
CAAAUCAACGGAGCACAUCUCACCGGAUCCUUCAAACUGCUUUCUAAAGAGUUGAUGUGGAUUUGUUGGCUUCAAUGUCCUUCGAAAUAUUUUCCAUCUGAUUUUACCUUGGACAAUCUAGUUGUUCUUGAUAUGCAGUACAGUAACCUCAAAGAAUUAUGGAAGGGAAAAAAGGUAAAAAACAUGCUACAAUCCCCAAAAUUUCUCCAGUAUGUAAUUUAUAUUUACAUGUUACGACUUCUUAUGAUUAAUUUUCAUUAUUUCACGCUCUAUUAUAC